GCUUAUAAUAAUUUCACCAUGCACCAUGGUUUAAUUGAUGCAGAGGGCAGUCAAAUUUUUUGUGCUAUGGAUUUUUCUUUCUUUUUUUUUUCCGUUUAUUUAGUAAUUUCGAUACACCUUAAUUUUCGAAAAUAAUAGAUAAAAAAUUAUCCAAGACUAUGGCCAUCAUUUUUUUUUUUUUUUGAAGUAACGUUUACAAUCAUUUUCUAAUUUAGUUUAACAAAUUAUUUGCUAAGACUAAU
rnacentral:lncRNA from 1 species